rnacentral:rRNA from 1 species
AGAGGUCUCAAGCGUUGUUCGGAUUCAUUGGGCGUAAAGGGUGCGUAGGCGGCGCGGUAAGUCGGGUGUGAAAUCUCGGGGCUUAACUCCGAAACUGCAUUCGAUACUGCCGUGCUUGAGGACUGGAGAGGAGACUGGAAUUUACGGUGUAGCGGUGAAAUGCGUAGAUAUCGUAAGGAAGACCAGAGGCGAAGGCGGGUCUCUGGACAGUUCCUGACGCUGAGGCACGAAGGCCAGGGGAGCAAACGGGAUUAGAUACCCCGGUAGUCCUGGCAGUAAACGGUGCACGUUUGGUGUGGGAGGAUUCGACCCCUUCUGCGCCGGAGCUAACGCGUUAAACGUGCCGCCUGGGGAGUACGGUCGCAAGAUUA